rnacentral:rRNA from 1 species
AGAUUGAACGCUGGCGGCAUGCCUUACACAUGCAAGUCGAACGGUAGAGUAGCAAUACUUGAGAGUGGCGAACGGGUGAGUAAUAUAUCGGAACGUGCCCAGUCGUGGGGGGAUAACGUAGAGAAAUUUACGCUAAUACCGCAUACGAUCUAAGGAUGAAAGCGGGGGAUCGCAAGACCUCGCGCGAUUGGAGCGGCUGAUAUCAGAUUAGGUUGUUGGUGAGGUAAAAGCUACACCAAAGCCGACGAUCUGUAGCUGGUUUGAGAGAACGACCGGCCACACUGGGACUGAGACACGGCCCAGACUCCUACGGGAGGCAGCAGUGGGGGAAUUUUGGACAAAUGGGGACGAAAAGCC